UAGGGAAUCUUCCGCAAUGGGCGAAAGCCUGACGGAGCAAAGCCGCGUGAGUGAUGAAGGUCUUAGGAUCGUAAAACUCUGUUAUUAGGGAAGAACAUAUGUGUAAGUAACUGUGCACAUCUUGACGGUACCUAAUCAGAAAGCCACGGCUAACUACGUGCCAGCAGCCGCGGUAAUACGUAGGUGGCAAGCGUUAUCCGGAAUUAUUGGGCGUAAAGCGCGCGUAGGCGGUUUUUUAAGUCUGAUGUGAAAGCCCACGGCUCAACCGUGGAGGGUCAUUGGAAACUGGAAAACUUGAGUGCAGAAGAGGAAAGUGGAAUUCCAUGUGUAGCGGUGAAAUGCGCAGAGAUAUGGAGGAACACCAGUGGCGAAGGCGACUUUCUGGUCUGUAACUGACGCUGAUGUGCGAAAGCGUGGGGAUCAAACA
rnacentral:rRNA from 1 species